rnacentral:rRNA from 1 species
CCUACGGGGGGCAGCAGUGGGGGAUAUUGCACAAUGGGGGAAACCCUGAUGCAGCGACGCCGCGUGUGGGAAGACGGUCCUCUGGAUUGUAAACCACUGUCCCCAGGGACGAAGAUGACGGUACCUGGGGAGGAAGCUCCGGCUAACUACGUGCCAGCAGCCGCGGUAAUACGUAGGGAGCGAGCGUUGUCCGGAAUUACUGGGUGUAAGGGGAGCGUAGGCGGGACUGCAAGUUGGGUGUCAAAUCUACCGGCUCAACCGGUAGCCGCACUCAAAACUGCAGUUCUUGAGUGAAGUAGAGGCAGGCGGAAUUCCUAGUGUAGCGGUGAAAUGCGUAGAUAUUAGGAGGAACACCAGUGGCGAAGGCGGCCUGCUGGGCUUUUACUGACGCUGAGGCUCGAAAGUGUGGGGAGCAAACAGGAUUAGAUACCCCUGUAGUC